AUGAAUUCUUCAACCCAAUCUUUUCUUGUAAUCGAUUGGUGUUUGGAUUCUGAGCGCUGCUGGCUUCGGCCUAGCUCGUUCGUAAUACAUUAGCAUCCCUAAUACAAGUUUGGAUUGACUUGGCGUAAUAGACUAUUCGCUAAGGAUUCGGUGGAAACAUCGAGCCAACUUUAUCAAGGAAGCUCCUAGUCUAAAAGUCUACCUU
rnacentral:rRNA from 1 species